GGGGUCAUGCAUUUGCCACGUCAUUACUUAACGGUUUAACUAACAAUGUAUGAAAUUGCAACAAAAUAUAAGUUUGUGUAUGAGAUUGAAAUGUUUUAAAGAUAUUGUAUGAGAUUGCAAUUGCAUCUAAAUCUAAGGGUGUAAAAUGUAAUUUACCAUUUUUUUAGUAAAACUAAUGAAGAGGGUUUCAAAACUUUGAAUUUUAACCAAAGGUCAUGUACUAAUUUGAUUUAAUGGUUAGGACAAAGCCUAACUCUAAACCAGUCCAAUUAAAAUGGCCCAAUGAUUGAGUUUCCAAUUUUGCCCCUGACAGCAACACAGCACUUCGUCUUUCCCUCCUCCUACCUCUGUUGCAUUUCCUUCAUUCAUAUAAAAAGGACAAAAGUUGAUUUUUCUUAUCUUUGCUACAUUUCCUCCAUUCAUAAGAAAAUGACAAAAGUUGAUUUUUUUUUGUUAAGCUUUACAUUUCAUGGUUACACAUGGUGGAAUCGAAGUUGCAGUCCCCGCGGAGAGAGAGAUCGAGAGAAGAUGAGAUAGAAGAUGUGCUUCUUGCGGAGAGAGAGAUCGAAAGAAGAUGAGAUAGAGGAUGCACUCCUCGCGGAGAGAGAGAACGAGAAAAGAUGAGAUAGAAACCUCACUACCCCGCUGCAAUUUCUGAAAUUGCAAUGAAAGUUUGAUGGACGCCAUCUCUCUCCUUGGAAGAAGGUGGGUGGGUGGGUCCCUUAUAACUUUUAAUUUAGUUUUAUUUUUUUAAAUGGUUUUUUAAUAUUUAAUUUAAUUUUUUUGCCACAUCAUAAUGCAUGUAAGUUUUAUAUUUGCCACAUCAUACUUAAUGGUCAAAUUGACGGUUUGACUAAUGGAUGUGUGAAAUUCAUUUUACUUAGAUUUUGAUACACAGAGAGAAAGGUUGAGAGAGAGAGAGAGAGAGCAGGAGAGCCAAAAAUGUCAUAUUUCACGGUCAUCGUCGUCAUCAUGUUGUCAAAGUAGUCUACUGGAAUUUGAAGUCACCAUUUCAAGUGGGAUUCUCAUGUCUUUGCUCCAACUUAAAAUUAAAAAAAUAAAAAUAAAACAAACUAAAUAAUUUUUUUUUUGUCAAACGUUAACAUUAAAAGUGAAUCUUUAUAAAGUAUUUGUUGAACAUAAGUACAAAAGUGUGAUUACAUAUUCUUUUUUGUUAUUUGGUGGAGUAAUCUUGUAUUAUUUAUAAAACUUCUGAAAACUAAACCAAAAUAAUUCACAUUAUUUUUGAAACUGAGCCAAAUUAAUCUACACUAUUUCUGGAACUACUGCAAAAUAACCCACCCAAUUUAUGGAAUUAUUGCAAAAUAACCCACAUUAUUUCUAAAACUACAGCAAAAUAACUUACAUUAUUUCUGAAAUGGAACAAAAUAAAUAGUAUUUCUGAAACUAUAGUAAAAUAACAAACACUACUUCUGAAACUGAACCAAAAUAAUCCACAUUAUUUGUGGAACUACAACAAAAUUACACACUAUUUCUGAAAAUGAACCGAAAUUACUCACGUUAUUUCUAGAACUACAACAAAAUAACUCACACUAUUUCUGAAAAUACACCAAAAUAACCUAUACUAUUUGUGGAUUUACAACAUAAUAAACCACCCUAUUUAUGAAGGUGAGCAAAAAUAACCUACACUAUUUUUGGAACUAUAGCAUAAUAACCCACACUAUUUCUGAAAGUCAACAAAAAUAAACCACACUGUUUCUGGAACUAUAGAAUAAUAACCCACAUUAUUUCUGGAACUAUAACAUAAUAAGCCAUACUAUUUAUGAAAGUUCUCCAAAAUCACUCACACUAUUUAUGAAAGGUAAUAAAAUAAAUACUAUUUCUGGAACUAGAACAAAAUAAUCCACACUAAUUCUUAAUUUGAACAAAAAAAAAACGCACACUAUUGCUAGAACUAUCGCAAAAUUAUACAUUAUUUAUUAAAAAACUGAAGAACACGCAUUGUUUCUCAUGGUUCUAAAAGACGUUAGGUGCUAGUUAGAUGGAGGACUAGGCAGAUGUAAGCAAAUUUAUGAUUUAUUUUUAGUACUUUGAUGAAUUUGAUAGAAUGAAAUGAAAAUUGAAAUAAUUACAACUCCAUAGUACUUUACGAAAUAUUUUAUAGAAAUCAUAUGAGUUUAUUGUAAAUUUAAAACAAAAUAAAAGUGUAAAACAUAUGACGUAAAAAGUAUUUGAACAACAAUUUAUAAAAAAAAAAAAAAAGGAGAGAGCUAAGGGAUGUGGCGCACAUAAAAGGUGGGAGGUGGGGCACCAUAAUUUCUUAAAACAUGUUGGGAUGCUAGUUGUCUCAAUUUCAUUGGAAAGCAAUUUAAUAAAAAUAAUAAAUGGGGUGAGACCACAUGGGGUGGGACUGAAGAGAGAGAAACUUUUCUUAUUAUCUCUUUUUGUUAGGACAAUUAUGGAAAGUUAUAUUUGAGCAUGUUGAGCCUUGUAAUUCAGCUCGUGUAUAAUUUAGGGCUUUUGUCCUUAUGGUUAAAUUUGAAGAGUUUUUGGUUAAACAAUAUUUUAUGCUUUUUUUUGUUAAAAUAAUCUUCAUCCAAGCCCUUUUUAUUAAAAUUCUUUUAUUUUUUUUUAUUUUGAACAAACGAUAUUAUCUAUACAAAGGUGAAGGGGGUGGGCUUAGCAUCACAAUAUGCUAGCAAUAAUGUAGUUCAAGUUCGCAUUUGACGAGAAUCCAAUCUAAGACUUCUCACUCACAAAUAAAAAGGAACACCACUUGACCGUAGUACUAAGUGGCAAUGCAAUCACUUUUAACAUCACACAUAAUACGUACAAACACGUGAAACGUACAGGUCAUCCUAACUUUGAUUAAAACCCUCAUGAUGUUAUAGCCAUAAGUUUAUAUAACUUGACUUUUUCUUAGGGGUUUUUGAACAUUAGUCCUUGCAAAAGAUUAAAAUAAAAAAUAAAUAAAAACUGUUGCUAGAUUACAUAUUCAAUUUAAUCCCUUGAAGUGUACUUUUAUCAAAAUUUAUAUUCAAUUUUUGUUAUUUAAUGUGUAUUUUUAUUUAAUCUCUCCACAUUAAAUUUUAAUUUUAUUAAUAUGCACAUAUUUUAAAUUUUAAUUUUAUUAAUAUGCACAUAUUUAGUUCUUUAAUUAUAAAUGAACAUAAAUGAGAAAAUAUUAAAAGAAAUUUGUGAACAAAAAUAUAUAAAUACAUGAGUGUACAAAAAUAUAUUAUAUUGAAUUAACCUAAAUGUAUGUACCUACAUGAUUGUACCGAAAUAUAUUAUAAUGAACCUAAAUUUAUGUACUUAAAUGUAUUAUAUUGAAUUAAUGUACCUAAAUGUCAAUACAGAAAUAUAUGUACCAAAAUAUACGUACCGAAAUGUAUGUACCGAAAUAUAGUAUAUUGAAUUAAUGUACCUAAAAGUCAAUACUCAAAUGAGAGGUAUUAUGUUUGAAUCCCGUGGAUGGUAAAUUUGAUACCAAAUUAAGUUGUCCAUUGUGUAGCUUAGUUGAAUCCCCUCACCUUUAGUGUAAAAUAUAUCAUUGUACUAAAAAAAAAACACUCAAAUGUGUGUACGAAAAUGUACGUAUGAAAUGCAUGUAUAUGUUUGUAUCAAUGGAUAUACCAAAAUAUUCAAAUGUAUUAAUGUACCUAAAUGAAGAACAUACAAAAUUGUUAUCGGA
rnacentral:lncRNA from 1 species